rnacentral:tRNA from 2 species
CCGUUGGUCAAGGGGUUAAGACACCGCCUUUUCACGGCGGUAACACGGGUUCGAAUCCCGUACGGA